rnacentral:rRNA from 1 species
GACGAACGCUGGCGGCGUGCUUAACACAUGCGAGUCGAACGAAGUGGCGAACGGGUGAGUAACGCGUAAUCAACCUGCCCUUCAGAGGGGGACAACAGUUGGAAACGACUGCUCAUACCGCAUACUGAAGGAGGGGAUUGCGUCUGAGUAGCUAGUUGGAGGUGUAACGGCCCAACAAGGCGAUGAUCAGUAGCCGGGCUGAGAGUAGGAACGGCCACCUUGCGAUUGAUACCCUGCCCAGACUCCUACGGGAGGCAGCAGUGGGGAAUCGUCCGCAAUGGACGAAAGUCUGACGGAGCAACGCCGCGUGAGUGAGGACGGCCUUCGGGUUGUAAAGCUCUGUUAAUCGGGACGCGGUACCGGAAUAGAAAGCCACGGCUAACUACGUGCCAGCAGCCGCGGUAAUAC